UACAGAGGUGGCAAGCGUUGUUCGGAUUUACUGGGCGUAAAGGGUGCGUAGGCGGUUUUGCGUGUCGGGUGUGAAAUUCUGCCGCUCAAUGGCAGAGCUGCGUCCGAAACUACAAAACUAGAGUUCAGGAGAGGAAAGCGGAAUUCUUGGUGUAGCGGUGGAAUGCGUUGAUAUCAAGAGGAACACCGGUGGCGAAGGCGGCUUUCUGGAAUGCAACUGACGCUGAGGCACGAAAGUUGGGGGAG
rnacentral:rRNA from 1 species